rnacentral:rRNA from 1 species
GCUUAACACAUGCAAGUCGAACGAGAAUCUAAUGAAGGAGGAUUCGUCCAACGGAAGUAGAGGAAAGUGGCGGACGGGUGAGUAACGCGUGAGGAACCUGCCUUGAAGAGGGGGACAACAGUUGGAAACGACUGCUAAUACCGCAUGAUGCAUAAGGGUCGCAUGAUUCUUAUGCCAAAGAUUUAUCGCUUCAAGAUGGUAUCGCGUCUGAUUAGCUAGUUGGCGGGGUAACGGCCCACCAAGGCGACGAUCAGUAGCCGGACUGAGAGGUUGAACGGCCACAUUGGGACUGAGAUACGGCCCAGACUCCUACGGGAGGCAGCAGUGGGGAAUAUUGGGCAAUGGGCGCAAGCCUGACCCAGCAACGCCGCGUGAAGGAAGAAGGCUUUCGGGUUGUAAACUUCUUUUAAGAGGGAAGAGCAGAAGACGGUACCUCUAGAAUAAGCCACGGCUAACUACGUGCCAGCAGCCGCGGUAAUACGUAGGUGGCAAGCGUUGUCCGGAUUUACUGGGUGUAAAGGGCGUGCAGCCGGGUCUGCAAGUCAGAUGUGAAAUCCAUGGGCUCAACCCAUGAACUGCAUUUGAAACUGUAGAUCUUGAGUGUCGGAGGGGCAAUCGGAAUUCCUAGUGUAGCGGUGAAAUGCGUAGAUAUUAGGAGGAACACCAGUGGCGAAGGCGGAUUGCUGGACGAUAACUGACGGUGAGGCGCGAAAGUGUGGGGAGCAAACAGGAUUAGAUACCCUGGUAGUCCACACUGUAAACGAUGAAUACUAGGUGUGCGGGGACUGACCCCCUGCGUGCCGCAG